rnacentral:tRNA from 4 species
GGCCCCAUCGUCUAGUGGUCUAGGACCCAGGGUUCUCAGUCCUGUAACACGGGUUCGAAUCCCGUUGGGGCUACCA